UCNUGGGAUAACACUGACGUUCAUGCCCGAAAGCGUGGGUAGCAAACAGGAUUAGAUACCCUGGUAGUNCACGCCCUAAACGAUGUCGAUUAGCUGUUGGGCAGCAUGACUGCUUAGUAGCGAAGCUAACGCGUGAAAUCGACCGCCUGGGGAGUACGGUCGCAAGAUUAGAACUCAAAGGAAUUGACGGGGACCCGCACAAGCGGUGGAUGAUGUGGAUUAAUUCGAUGCAACGCGAAGAACCUUACCUGGUCUUGACAUGUACGGAACCCUUCAGAGACGGAGGGGUGCCUUCGGGAGCCGUAACACAGGUGCUGCAUGGCUGUCGUCAGCUCGUGUCGUGAGAUGUUGGGUUAAGUCCCGCAACGAGCGCAACCCUUGUCAUUAGUUGCCAUCAUUAAGUUGGGCACUCUAAUGAGACUGCCGGUGACAAGCCGGAGGAAGGUGGGGAUGACGUCAAGUCCUCAUGGCCCUUAUGACCAGGGCUUCACACGUCAUACAAUGGUCGGUACAGAGGGUAGCUAAGCCGCGAGGCGGAGCCAAUCUCACAAAACCGAUCGUAGUCCGGAUUGCACUCUGCAACUCGAGNGCAUGAAGUCGGAAUCGCUAGUAAUCGCAGGUCAGCAUACUGCGGUGAAUACGUUCCCGGGUCUUGUNCA
rnacentral:rRNA from 1 species